GGCCUGAUGGUCUAGAGGCAUGAUUCUCUCUUAGGGUUGAGCGCAGCUUGACAAUUUGGGAGAGGUCCCGGGUUCAAUCCCCGGUUAGGCCC
rnacentral:tRNA from 1 species